UUCACUCUUCAUCCCCUCAGUUCAUGUUCUUUAGGUGGGAAUCGCAGGUGAUAGGUCCGAUACUCCUCCCAGAAAAGGAAAAGAGGGACAUUUGAUGACCUCAACACCAAAAAUGAACCUAAUUUUACAGGGGACCUACACUAGAAAUAAAAGAAAUACAACAAAGAGGACUUCACCCUUAUCUCAGGACUCAGAUGAAUGAAUGGUACUUGGAUAGCCUUUCGACACCCUAACUUGAUAGCAUGGCGUCAAGUGAUCUGCCCGAGAGGCCGGAGGGAUGAGAACAACAGAUGGAAGAGCUCUCGAAGCAAAGCUACUGGCCUGGCCUUGAUCGAUUCAAUCCCCGACUUUUUGACUCUCCUACACACAGGACGUCAUAGCCAUACGUCCCUGUACUUGUAUGUUAUCAUUUAUGGAGGGAUGUUUCCGAUGUGCAGAUCCGGACUGGGAAAGAUCAUGGAUGAUGUAGAUUCUCAAACUAGAAUGACUAGUCACUUAGGCUAUGUUUGGUUUGAAGGAAAAAGUAGAAAAAGAAAGGAAAGAAAGAAAAACCUUUAUAAAUUUGGGAUCGAAUCUGCCUGCACCAUGGUUGGAGGGAUUAAGCCAUUAUGGGUUUGGAGACAGGAUCUCCCUAAAGAAAGUCGUGUACACAACCUGAGAGCAGAGCAUCCAGCCGUAACAUGGGUCAGUUUGAACCUUGAAUCAAAUAAUGACGGUAUGCAGUUUCACAAACGGGAAGGGAACACACUGCAUUAAUGCAACAUGGCUGGGCCAAUUAAUACCCUACGGUCGUGCCACCAGCACAGAGUAAAACAGGAAGAAAGAAUGGCAUAGCCAAAGAGGGCCAAGUCGGCUAAGCAAGUUGAAGCCUGAAAGAUCUAUCAACUCCCAUUCAGAGGCAAAAAGAAAGAAUGACAGGGAAGCAUGAAGAAGAAAAUAUAUUUCAAAACUGAAUUCAUCAGUAGAUAAUUACAAGAAAAAUGUUUCUCCGUACGUAGGCUGUCCAUUGUUAGCAGCAACUUGAUAAAUAUAUCAUUCAUUACAGGUUCAAGCUCACAUCAAAAAGUUGCUCCUUUCCUCAGGCUGGGCAGAAAAUUAGAUUAUACAUUAUAAAUAUACAAAUGCAUCCUACACACGAAUUGGGCAGAAGCUCCUAUCAACUCCCGUUGAAUUAAAUGACCCCCAUUGGAACCAACUCUGUCUCUUUUCCUCUGCAUGAAGAAUAUAA